UUAAAUAAUGGAACGUUAAAAAAUUGUUUAUAGACCAGAUGCUUUUUAGUCUAGAUAUCACAAAUAAAUUUUCCGCCAGCAUGUCGUAUAGGGUAAUCAAUAGCUGGUCAGGACGAUAACAUUUAAACGUCUAAGACUCCGUAGGUUUCAAAAAAAAGCUUCAGCACUGCAAGUUUAUUAAGAGAGGACGUAUUGAAUAAAUAAAUAAAUAAAUAAAUAAAUAAAUAAAAACUAAAAAAAACGGUCUGAUGAGGAAGUUUUUAUCGUCUUGAUCCAUUGGCCGUCGACACGGUAUAAUUUAAAUUACUCAACUUAUCGUUUUGCUGAAUUUACUCGCAGACAAAUUUAAUUUGAGAAUUACAACACCACUGAAGUUGAACUUGUAGUAAAAUUUUGAAAUACUCAGAAUAUGUGGCGUUGAGUUGCGAUUGUAGUUAUCGUUCAAUCUUCAUAGUAUAAAAAUAUACCACAACAUUUUUAUAAAUAGUAUCUAUAUCCUAGGAUCCGGUAGAGCCCUUAGCCUGGUUUGAAUAGAAGAAAAAAAAUUGUAGCGAAACAGAAACUGCAGUUCUGCACGCGAUGCCUAUCCGAAUAAUCGUAAUGUUUCAACUUUGACAUAAACUAUGUUUGAAGUUCUAACGACAGACAAACGGCAAUGCAUAAUAGCAUUAAUUACAGGCGGAAAUAAUCGCUCUAUUAUAAACCAUAACUUCGACUUUGAAAAGUACGUGCAUUUCGAGGGCUUCACUCGGUUUCAUUCUAUACUAUACAGGGAAGGAAAAUUCUGUUCCGACAUCUGAACGCGUGGAAUGUCGUAAUAUUAUUCAUUUGGAAUGGAAUCCAUGGAGAUUAAACGCUUGGUUUUCAAGCUAGACUGUACAAAUUGAGAAAAAAUUCAUGUAAGAAAAGAAUCGGUAGGCAGAGCUGACGUAGGUACCAAAUGCACAUAACACAUCCAUAUAACCAGCAGGCCAUUGGUGAAUCGACUUUCACUCCAGAGUGGUAGAACUAAGUUCAUAUAGCUGUGUAAGGCAAACACGGACGUACGACUCGCGACAGCAAAAGCAAGAGCAGCAGCGGCUUGACAUAAUAAUCCAACAAGUGUCCUAAUAGUACAUGACCGCGCGCGUGAGCUCGUACCAGAAUAUUUAUUAUUUUCAUCACGUAGGGAGCUCAACUAUAGAAAAGUUGCCCCAAAUAAAAUUGAAACACUAAUACUGCACCCUACUCAUCGAUCUUUUCUCAUGUUAUUUUGGUUCAUCUAUUAAUUCAAAUUUUUUUCCUCAGUACCUACCGACCCAUCAGAGGCACACGAUUUCACCGCAUCUCAUCGUCGGUAAGCCCGCUGACAACGAGUGAUAAAAGCUCGAGGUAAGCAGAAUUAAUUAACAUGAACUUCCAACGAAAGAAACUAUCCACGAAGCUAUGUGCAAUAUUUUUUUUCAGUAGUAAAACAUCAUUACGCAACUCGUGCAACAAAACGUUACGGUAUAUCUAAUACACACGUAUUUAUAUUCUCUCAUUUUUUAUCUAUGGCAAUUAUUAUUACGCAUGUAAUUACCGGCAGCGAUAAUUAUAAACAACUCUCUGACUGCUCCAUGGUUGAUGCGCGUAAGUGAGGCUUUGCGAAUCGAGGUACUACGAUUAUAAUUAGGUGUACAGGAAAGCUUUUAUAAUGCUCGUGUAAUUAAACCAAAUUGGAUAUCAUCAAGGUCCACUUCUGAUCAGCUGUCCGUUGCAAAAUUCUAUAACGUCGAAUAAUAUUUUCCUUCAAUACGGGUGAAAGAAGUUCGUAGUUGUUUUAAAAAUUUCAAGCACCAAGAGUAUACGUAUGAGGUAAACCGCAGAAGGUGGCUGUGCACCAGCAAAUCAAGAUCGCGAGAAACUUAAGAACGCUGUUUCUGUAUCCGUUACGCAUACCUAUAUGCGACUUGAAGAAACCUGAGAAUCUAAGAUCAUGUACUCCUGCUAACACUUUCCAGUAGCAACUACAUUUCUGAGAGAGGAAAAGCUGUCUUGUUUCAUCAAGUGCUUUCAUAAUCAAUCGAUUUUCCGGUCCCAAUUUCAUAUCCAUCCUCCGUGUUACGUGGAUUUGCCAAAAAAAGAGCUCAUCGCAAAAUCAUGAAAUAGUGUGAAUGUCGUUAAAACUGUCCAUCCCCUCUCCAAUGUCAGACAUCCGCUGGCAACGGAUGCGAAAAUAUAUUCGGAUCCUUGAAAUUCGGUGGAUCCAAGGUCGUGGCGUUCCGUAAGAAAUAUUACUGUACGCUAUGUGGUUGCAUAAGAUACAUUUCAUCAUAAAAAAAAGAAUCAUU
rnacentral:lncRNA from 1 species